rfam:Arabidopsis thaliana chromosome 3, complete sequence.
GGAUGCGAUCAUAUCAGCACUUAUGCAUCAGAUCCCAUCAAUACUCUGCAGUUAAGCUUGCUUGGGCGAGAAUAGUAUUAGGAUGGGUGACCUCCGGGAAAGUCGUUGUGUUGUAUCAU